UCCUGCGCGUGCGCUCUCCUCUCGUCUCUCGUCCCUCGUCUCUCUCCUUCUCUACUGGAAAACCUACAAUCUUUCAUCUUCCGCUGCUCUUCCUUUCUCUCCGCUCCCCAUAUCUCUCGAUGUGAAGCCCACAAACCAAGUAGUGACGGUUGAAAGCCUCAAACAUGGCGGCCACGAAAUGGAGGUACAGUGACGGUCGACAACCGCCUCCAUUGACGAUGAAUUUGGUCAUCAGAAAGCGUCUUAUGGGGUGCAGAACCUAAGCCGCUGGCCUCCUCUGCAGCUCUUGGCCUUACCAUUGGAUUAUUUCCAAUAUGCGGUACGUAUAUUUUGCUCAGGUUUUCUGGGAAAUCUAAUACUGUUUGUGGAUUAUGGUUGUAUAUUCAUUGUUGGUUUAACUUCUUCACCGAAGUUCGUGAAGUUGAGAGGGACAACCAAGUCCUCAGGUCUCUUUCUCUCUGUGCAUGCAUGUAUGCAUACAUAAUGUUGUAUGUAUGUGGAUGUGAUGACAGUUUAAUUGUAUAAACUAGGGUUUCGGGCAAUAUGAUUGUUUAUCAUGUUUCGCAAUUAAAUGGAAAAAAAGGCCGACUCAAAUUAACUUCGCA